UUUUUUUAUACAAUUUGAAUUUAUUAUGUAGUUUAAAUAUUUAUACUUUUAGUAUUGGACUAUAUUAGUGAUCAUACCAUUUUAGAUUGUAGAAUUAUGGAAUGAAAUAUACAAUUACAUAUUGUUAUUGCAACAAGAAUAUAAAUAUAUUAGGAAAAAAAUUGUAAAAAUUUAGCUUCAUAACAACGACUAAAUCAGAAACAAUGAUCUAAAUAAAAAAUACCUUAUUUGAUUUAACUACUAAUUAGCUGUAAUACCCGGCUAGAGUCCGGCAUCGGAAUUCCACUUCCCGGUGGAGUCCGGAAUGUCGGAAUUCUCUAGAAGGGUAAGAUUUAUGUUUUUCUCUAAUGUUUUGAUAUGUUCAUAGUUUUAAAGCUUCAGGAAAUGUGUUUUUGAAAGAAAAGAACCAAGGCAGAAAAGCCAGGUUCGGCCGCCGAAGGUGAGGUUCGGCCGCCGAACAUACAUAGCUUUCGGUUUCACGAUAGGCCGCCGAAGGUGGUCUGGCCAGCCACCUAUAAAAGGCCCUCAGUCGGUUGGAAGGAUAAGGAUUGCCUUUUCUUUCUCUUUCUGAGGUGAGACCCUGUCCUUCUUACGUUUUAUUCAUGUUUUCAUCAAAUCAUGCCAAUAGUUUAUUGAUUUUUAUAUUUUUUUGAAGGUUUUGAGCUAAAAAUACAAAGUUGUGAAGUUUGGAGAGUUUGAAGGAGAGUUGCUCCAAAACUCCACGUUGGGAUCGUUCAUCUUCUUGUGUUCAAGAGGUAAGUGAAGAUCCUGAGCUUGUUUUCAUGUUUUCUGAAGGUUUUAGAAGGGUUUUGGGUAGAGUUGCAUGAAAAGGGUAAAAAGUGAGGGUUUUGGUGUUUUGUUGAUCAACAGCAUGUUUAUGUGUUAUAUGUGUUGUGUUGUUGGGGUUUUUAGGUAGUUUCUGACCCCUUUGAGCAUAUACUUGGGUGUAUGGAAGUUGAGGACUUAAGGUGGUUGAGUUUGGGAUGGUUUUGUGCAUUUUGGCGAGAGGCAAAGCAAGUUUCUGCCUUGCUGAUGAACCCAGCUUCGGCCGCCGAAGAAUGGUUCGGCCGCCGAACCCCUGAGGAAGUGGCUUCGGCUGCCCAAGCUUGCCCCCGAGCUUUUGGACUUUCGGCUCUGGAGGGGAGUUUCGGCCGCCGAAGGUGCCGCCGAAGGUUAGAGACUUUCGUCUCUCGAGUGCCUUUCAGCCCCCGAAACUUGCCCCCGAAACUUGCCCCCGAAAGGGUUCGACUGCCGAAAGUUGAGAUUCGGCCGCCGAAGGUGCAUGAGUUUCGGCUCUGGAGAGGACUUUCGGCCGCUGAACCUGCCGCCGAAAGUGUUCUGUCCAGCCUUCCUUUGCAUGCUUUGUAUGGAUGUUUGAGUGACUUUAAGGGGAUUCUUGGGGAGUUUACUAGAGUUGUUCAUAAGCUAGUUUGGUCCCUCAUUUGAGUUUAUCUGUGCCUACACAGACUAGAGGAACCAGAGAGAGCAGCAGUGAGUCCUGCUCCAGAGUGUACAGCGCCUGCAGAGUCAGUCCAGAUAGCCAGAGGUGAGUGGAACUAAAUGAAAUCUUUUAAUUGAGAAAUGGAAUGGUUUUAGCAUAUGUCAUGCAUCAUGAGUAUACAGUAGGUUGCUUGCAUUAGAAUUCACGAAUAUGUUGCAUUGCAUAGUUAUUUGUUGAUGUGGGUGAAUGCUGAAUGAUCCAAUAGUCAUUGAGAUAAGUCCAGGAGCCUUUGACUACGCCCUGGCAGGUAUAGUAAAGUCCAGGAGCCUUUGACUACGCCCUAGCAAUGGUAAGUCCAGGUGUUAUAUACACAUAUACAUAUAUGAGACAGGAAAUCCAGGUGCCUUUGACUACGCCCUAGUAUGAGAUACUGGGACUAUUUGGUGACAGGUUUACCCUUGAUGUGGAUUGUCUGUGUUAUGAUGCAUUCCAUAAGGUCAUGUUUUAAUGAUAUGUUUUACUGUUUUACUGUUCUACUCACUGGGCUAUAGAGCUCAUCCCACUCCCUUAACCCUAGUCUUGCAGGUUCAGUGUACAGUAUACAGGGGAGAUCAGCAGAGUACAGAAAGAGUAAAGAGAUUUGUAAUAGCUUAGAGUGGACAUGUAAUAUUAAAGAG
rnacentral:lncRNA from 1 species